UACCAGCACCCCGAGUGGUCGGGACGAUUAUUGGGCCUAAAGCAUCCGUAGCCGGUUCUACAAGUCUUCCGUUAAAUCCACCUGCUUAACAGAUGGGCUGCGGAGGAUACUAUGGAGCUAGGAGGCGGGAGAGGCAAGCGGUACUUAGUGGGUAGGGGUAAAAUCCGUUGAUCCAUUGAAGACCACCAGUGGCGAAGGCGGUGCUCUGGGCCGGAACUGACGCUGAGGAGCGAAAGCGUGGGGAGCAAACAGG
rnacentral:rRNA from 1 species